AACGAACGCUGGCGGCAGGCUUAACACAUGCAAGUCGAACGGGCGUAGCAAUACGUCAGUGGCAGACGGGUGAGUAACACGUGGGAACCUUCCUAGGGGUACGGAACAACUCAGGGAAACUUGAGCUAAUACCGUAUACGUCCGAGAGGCGACAGAUUUAUCGCCCUUGGAUGGGCCCGCGUCGGAUUAUCUAGUUGGUGAGGUAACGGCUCACCAAGGCGACGAUCCGUAGCUGGGCUGAGCGGAUGAUCAGCCACACUGGGACUGAGACACGGCCCAGACUCCUACGGGAGGCAGCAGUGGGGAAUAUUGGACAAUGGGCGCAAGCCUGAUCCAGCCAUGCCGCGUGAGUGACGAAGGCCUUAGGGUUGUAAAGCUCUUUUGGCGGGGAAGAUAAUGACGGUACCCGCAGAAUAAGCUCCGGCUAACUUCGUGCCAGCAGCCGCGGUAACAC
rnacentral:rRNA from 1 species